rnacentral:tRNA from 1 species
AGUAGAAUGGCUGAGUUAAUAAUUAGGCUAUAGAUUGUAAAUCUAUUUAGGGGACAAAUUCUCUUCUACUA